UUAUGUAAAUUAGAAGGCGCUUCCUUGCCAAGGUGCUCUGAGGUAAAGGUAAGUGCAGAUUUAGCAGCGCCGCUAACAGCAAAAAAAAUAAAAAAUAAAAACGCACACAGAGUUAGAAUCUGAGGACAUGACGAAGAGAAAUAAACUCAUAUUUAUUCCCAGGACAGAGUUACAGCUCGGAUUUAUUCUCCACACGUGAAUCUGUGGAUGAUUUUGAUGAUUCCUGGCGGUUGCUCUCAUCCGUACGGGUCGCGCGCGCAGGCAGCAGAAAUCUUCUACAUCUAAUCAAACUGGACAGCCUGCUGUGAGGUUUCAUUCAUCAGCUCAAGAGCAGACAGGACUUGCCAUGUGGAUGAUCCUCUCACCAGUCAGCCGUCCUCCAUUAGCUGCUAGCAUGAAGGCACAGGUGUAAUGCCGUCGAGUGCUGUCAAGUGUCUCUGAGAGCAGUAGUACUCCACACACUAGUGCUGCCUAAAUGCUGAGCUGAUGGAGACUUUUUUUUGGGAAGGUAAAACUGUUUAUUACUUUUUGUGUCCGAACCUACAGCAAAGGCAAACAAAAAUCUUAUCACCAGAGUUCGACCAAAUCUUUAUUCGAAAAGCUUAAAAACCAUCCUUAUACAGUGAGAGCUAAAAACGGAAUUGUAUCCGAUGUAAGUUUUAGCUCAGUGCCAUAAUAAAAGCUCUACACCAGAUGUGCAAAUUAUGUGUACUCAUUAGGAAAUCUCUGGGCUACGACACCAACAGGAGCCAUUGGAGCCAACAACAUGAUAUCAUAGUAAAAACUGAACUGUUAUGCCUGGAAUCAUACAAGCAUCAAAGGACAUCAUUUAAAUAAAUGUUAGCUCACUGAACAGAACUGGUGCGCAGGGUUAUUUUGAGUGAAUUGCGCACUGCUUCAUCUCAGAGUUUGUGUGCUGACGCAGAGGACAUUUCUCAGACUCCGUCUAUUGUACUUAUUCUGACUUUAAUUGCAGCUCUGUUCAGGGAAAUGACCUGAGGGGAUUUUGAUUUGUCUAAAGUAGUCAUCUCUAUGCAGAGUCACAGUAAAGGGUGUAGCGUCAGACCCACAGGGUUUAGCAUUCAUUCUAGCUUAAAGGUCACGUUGUGAACGUGAGUACACAGAUAUCACCUAGUGUUACAUCACCUCUUGUAGCAGGACACCUUUUAUUAUGUCUCCGCCACUAGAUGGUGGAAGUAUUAUGUUAUGUCGUCUGAGCAUCCGUUCGAGAUUCUCUUUAUAGCUCGAGAAUGAGCGGUUGAACUUUUUUGAAGUGGUUUGAAGUUGCAUUUGAAGGUAAUUUUGUUCAGCAUUCACGUAGUGUUUUGCUAUCGAAUUCAUUUUCCAUGAGUUAGUUUACUAAAUGACAAUACAGCGUAUUUUCCAAGGCGUCCAUUAGCACUGCCUUUGGAGAUUACUGUCGGUUUGGCAGAGGACAGGUAGCGAGACGUGAUGGAGAACCUGAUUAGAAUUUUGGCAGAGGAUUUUCAUACAGAUGGGAGCACACGUUAGGCCCGUACACACAGCCUCUUUUGCUCUCUCUCCCUCUCUCUUUUUUUAUUUCUCUUUUUUUCCCUCCUCAUUGUGCUCAUUACACUGGGCAGUUUCCUGAAGAAAAACAGAUGAAUGCGUAUAAAGCUGUGUUGUGGUUAUUUAUCACUAAGCAGGGGUCCUUUAGGCUCCCAGUCCCCACAUCCUCUAAUUAUAUCGCUAACCAUUUAAACUACAAAACCAGUAAAUUCCACUGUACGUGUGUGGUCGGGUGAUUGGGUGUGGGUGGGCACUGUUUCCAGGUGAUGCUUUGGGACUAAUCUUCUCUUUUUCUCCUGCCUGUAUUGUGUGCAGUGAGCAGCGUCUGGGAGAGAUAAGAGUAUGUGAAUGAUCCUCCACUCCUCCUUAUUCAGCCAUCCAUUUGUGUGUGUGUGUGUGUGUGUGUGUGUGUGUGUGUGUGGGCUUGUUUUUAUGUCGUGUUUUGGACCAAAUAUCCUCAAGGACAGGGAUAUCUUCUUAGUUUUGUUUUUUCACAGUUUUGACCUUGUGGGGACAAUUCGCUGGUUCAUGUGAGGAAAACUGCUUUGUGGCGUUUAUUUAAAUAAAUAAAUAAAUGAAUAAAAGAUCCAAAAGGUUUCCUUUUGGUUACUUCAGGUUAGGAUUAUAUUUAUAUUUAAGAAGAUAGUACUGCUAUUCUUGACUUUUUUUUUCCCCACCAAGGUGACAUUUUCGCGCUUUCACCUCUGUGAACCGGUUCAAUUCUGACAUUUUUUUUUUUUUUUACAAAUUCAGAGAGCAAGCAUAAUAGCAUUUAUUUAUGCAAAGGUUUGCUAUGUAGCUUUUGUUUAUUUUUGUAUUUUUAAACAACUUUGCAGUGACUUACUUGACCCCCAGUACCAGAUCUGCUGAAUGCAUAUUGCAGGGAAAGCUGUGGGAAAGCUUACUGUUCUAGGAAAGUAAUCCGUGACAUCAUGGCUACUGUUAUCACAAAAAGAGUUGAUUAUUUCUUUUCAACUUGACCUAAAGUGUUUUAUUCCUCUUAUAUUCACAGAUUAGUUAGAACUAGUUUGUUAAUAUAUAAACCCGGGAUUUGCAUCUGCACUACCGUCAGAGCCGCUGUUAUAGAAAAUGAAUCUCAGCAAUCGAGGAAUCAACAGUGCUGCGAUACUGAUGUGGUACGGAUGUACAUUUUUUUGCCUGGUGGGAACCAUGAAGCAUUUAUUUGUCAAGCCACACAUGAUAUUAUGGAGAUGCCAGUGGUCUUGACCCUUUCUGCUCUCCGGACCUGCCUGAUCCAUCCUGGAGCCCUCAUCAACUGGAGGCUACAGCCUGGAGAUUGCUUAGGAUGGUACCUCUUUUUUUUACACUCAGGUCUCUUUUAGUGAGCAGUGGACUAGUUCAACAAACAGACUUCAUGUUAAAGCCAUAAUGAACUUUCCAUUACUUUAACACUAUCCUUUGUUACCCAGAUGAAGACGGGUUGCCUGAGUCUGGUUCCUUUCAAUGUUUCUUCCUCAUAUCAUCUUAGGGAGAUUUUCCUCACCACCAUCGCCACCGGCUCGCUCAAUAGAGAUAAAUUCACACACUUAAAAUCUCCAUCCUGUGUUUAGGUUUCUGUAAAGCUGCUUUGAGACAAUGUCCAUCGUUAAAUGUGCUAUACAAAUCAAAUUAAAUUGAAUUGAAUGAUUUCUAAAUGGUUUCGCUUAAAUUAGAUUUGAGUGGACAUUAUUUAUAAGUCUCUCAUUAAGAUCUUGUCCGAUACCAGUCAGAACCACAAUUUGGACCCUGCUCUGGCUGAUUUCCUCUCGCCUUUGCCCAGGAAGAAGUCACACCGCCACCAUCAUUCAGUGGAAGCUUCUUAGUUUAAU